UCCCACCUCCACCUACGUAUACAACCAACCAUCAACCAUAGGAUGUUUAAGCCCAUCUCUCCAGAGGUCACCUUGGCUUGUUUACUUGACUGGAGUGGACGCUCAGUGAACAUCUCACCUACCAACGUGUGUUCAGCUCUCAACUCAUUUCCUACUGGAUCCUCAGUCAGUGUGGGUUUUUGGACCAGUUGCACCUCACGGGCCGAGCCACCAAUCCUGAACGCGCCUGUACGCACCAAGUACUCACCCAGCAACUCAUGGAAGCAAUGCUUACCGAAUGUCUGAUCCAUCGCUGGACACAAGAAUUAAACUCACCGUCGGGAUUGUGUCCCAGCUGGAGACUGUAAACCACUGGUGGCUGGGCAGAUGGACGUGUCCAACCAAAACAGGACGUUCAGCCACACGACCAGCGUUCUGCACUGAGCGCCACACGGUUGUUGUGAAGUGGUGUGUGAAGUGAUGCGCCUCUGUGUUACUUUUCCUAAACCCAAUGUUUGUUUUGUUUCCUAGACCUAAGAUUAGGAAGUUAUUUUGAUCCCAACCAGUUUGUUUUUCCGAAAACCUUUUACUGCUACAAAUAACGUAUGUUCUGUUGCAUAAUGUCGUCACGUGUAGACGC
ensembl:lncRNA